rnacentral:lncRNA from 1 species
GCUGUAAACACUUUUGCAAUAUAGUAGGUGCAGCCUGUAAAAGGCAACCGGAUUGUGAGGGCAGAGUCACUCAUGGACCAAUGAAAUAAUGAGUUAUCAUGGGAGGCAAACUGGUGGCUUCAUGAGAAGAGAGACCUGAGCUAGCACAGGUCAUGCUCAGCCCCUCUCCAUGUGAUGCCCUGCGCUGCCUGGAGAUGACCCAGAGAGACCCUGCCAUGAGGAAGACUCUCACCAGAUGCACUCGCUUGACCCUGUACUUCACAG